UACGAAGGGGGCGAGCGUUGUUCGGAUUUACUGGGCGUAAAGGGCGCGCAGGCGGCUUAUUUUGUCAGGCGUGAAAGCCCCGGGCUUAACCUGGGAACUGCGUUUGAUACGGAUGGGCUAGAGUUCGGGAGAGGAGAGUGGAAUUCCCAGUGUAGAGGUGAAAUUCGUAGAUAUCGAGAGGAACACCUGCGGCGAAGGCGGGUUGCUGGGCUGACACUGACGCUGACAGCGCGAAAGCUAGGGGAGCGAACGGG
rnacentral:rRNA from 1 species